CUACGGGUGGCUCCAGUGGGGAAUAUUGCACAAUGGAGGAAACUCUGAUGCAGCAACGCCGCGUGGAGGAUGACACUUUUCGGAGCGUAAACUCCUUUUAUAUAGGAAGAAGAUGACGGUACUAUAUGAAUAAGCGCCGGCUAACUCCGUGCCAGCAGCCGCGGUAAUACGGAGGGCGCAAGCGGUACUCGGAAUCACUGGGCGUAAAGAGCGUGUAGGCGGAUUAAAAAGUCAGGAGUGAAAUCCUAUAGCUUAACUAUAGAACUGCUUCUGAAACUCUUAAUCUAGAAUAUGGGAGAGGUAGAUGGAAUUUCUGGUGUAGGGGUAAAAUCCGUAGAGAUCAGAAGGAAUACCGAUUGCGAAGGCGAUCUACUAGAACAUUAUUGACGCUGAGACGCGAAAGCGUGGGGAGCAAACAGGAUUAGAUACCCCGGUAGUC
rnacentral:rRNA from 1 species